rnacentral:rRNA from 1 species
UACAGAGGUCCCAAGCGUUGUUCGGAUUCACUGGGCGUAAAGGGUGCGUAGGCGGUCGGGUAAGUCUGAUGUGAAAUCUCACAGCUUAACUGUGAAACUGCAUUGGAUACUAUUCGGCUUGAGAGUUGGAGGGGGGACUGGAAUUCUUAGUGUAGCAGUGAAAUGCGUAGAUAUCAGGAGGAACACCGGUGGCGAAGGCGGGUCUCUGGGCAACAACUGACGCUGAGGAGCGAAAGCGUGGGGAGCGAACAGG